rnacentral:lncRNA from 10 species
GUAAAACCAAAGACAGGCAGCCCGGCGCCAGGCCUGAAACCAGGCCUGGGCCUGCCUGGCCUAAACCCAGUAGUUAAAAAUCAACUCAUAACUUAGAAACUGAUGUUAUUCAUAGAUUCCAGACAUUGUAUAGAAGAACAUUGUGAAACUCCCUGUCCUGUUCUGUUUCUCUCUGACCACCGGUACAUGCAGCCCCUGUCAUGUACCGCCUGCUUGCUCAAAUCAAUCACGACCCUUUCAUGUGAAAUCUUUAGUGUUAUGAGCCCUUAAAAGGGACAGAAAUUGUGCAUUCGGGGAGCUUGGAUUUUAAGGCAGUACCUUGCCAAUGCUCCCAGCUGAAUAAAGCCCUUCCUUCUACAACUAGGUGUCUGAGAGGUUUUGUCUGCGACUCGUCCUGCUACAUUUCUUGGUUCCCUGACCAGGAAGCGAGGUGACUGACGGACGGCCGAGGCAGCCCCUUAGGUGGCUUAAGCCUGCCCUGUGGAGCAUCCCUGAGGGGGACUCUGGCCAGCCUGAGUGAUGUGGUCCGAAGAGCGCUUGGGUAGGAAAUUGCCCCUGUGGAAUGCCUCGUCAGAGCAGCGCAUAGCAGGCCCCCACGGAGGAUUAACACAGUGGCUGAACACUGGGAAGGAACUGGCCCUUGGAGUCCAGACAUCUGAAACUUGCUCUCAAGAGUUUGGGGUUUUUGAGGUUUGCCAUGGUACAUCAAUAGAAUAUCAAAUGACAGGAUAAGACCUAGAAGACAAAUGUAAAAUUCCAAAAUGCAUGCUGUGGAUGAAUGUAGCAAUAUGAGAUGAGUACUAUUUGGGAUGCAGAAAGCAAUAUUUAACUGAUCAGCUGCCACUCACAUCAUGAAUCAGAAGCAGCCUUAAAAGAAAGGAUCCCUUCUUGCUAUUUUGAAGGCUUCUGUGUUCCAUAGCAUCAAGACGCCUGCAGCACCUCCAUGCAUAUCAUCCUCACACAAUAGUCUUCAAAAGCCAGAAAAGAGAGGGAGAGUCAUGGGUCAUCACUUUCUCAAGUUUUUAAAUUUAAUUAUUUUAAAUUAAGAAAAAUUGCUCAGACAUCUUAUGACAGGCCUACUUCAUUUUUCUUUAGUCAGAAUUGUGCCCAAUGACCAUUUCUAAACCAAUUAUUAACAAGGACAAUGGAGAUACUGACUUGUUUUUCAAUAGUCAAAAUCUACCUUCUGGUGUUGAAAAGGGAGCCAACAUCAACUGAAGUGCAUGACUACAUGAUUCUUGAACAAAUAUGAAUGAAGAAGAAAGUAUGGAUUGGGUUUGUGUAGCCAACUGGAAGUCUACUACAUGUAGAAAAUUGUAAUUCAAGAUGA